GAAGCUCUGCCAAUAAUGCAUAAGAAAAGUAGGAAAGAAAAAACAUCCCGGUGAAAGGAGCUUGGGUUUAUCUAGUCCUUCCAGGCUUCUCCAAAGAAGAGUUCGACAACCCAAAAUCCAGCUCGUUUUGGAUAAAAAAUGAAAAGAAGGAAACUAUGCAAACAUCUUAUUAAACGCGGAUGUAUGCUGCUUGGAAUGGAAAAGUGAGAAGCUCUGAAAAAGAAGACAGUCUGUUAUAAAUGAAAGGUUUCAAAGAGGGAAAACCCCUAAGUUUAACAGAGUUUUUAGAGUAAACUUCUCAUACCGGAUUUCUGCUGAGACUCUUUGCCC
rnacentral:lncRNA from 1 species